rnacentral:rRNA from 1 species
CGCGACCCCAGGUCAGGCGGGAUUACCCGCUGAAUUUA